rnacentral:rRNA from 1 species
GACGAACGCUGGCGGCGUGCUUAACACAUGCGAGUCGAACGGAAAGACCCUGCUUUUGUGGGGUGCUCGAGUGGCGAACGGGUGAGUAACACGUGAGUAACCUGCCCUUGACUUUGGGAUAACUUCAGGAAACUGGGGCUAAUACCGGAUAGGAGCUCCUGCUGCAUGGUGGGGGUUGGAAAGUUUCGGCGGUUGGGGAUGGACUCGCGGCGUAUCAGCUUGUUGGUGGGGUAGUGGCCUACCAAGGCUUCGAUGCGUAGCUGGUCUGAGAGGGUGAGCAGCCACACUGGGACUGAGACACGGCCCAGACUCCUACGGGAGGCAGCAGUAGGGAAUAUUGGACCAUGGGCGAAAGCCUGAUCCAGCAAUGCCGCGUGAGUGAUGAAGGCCUUAGGGUUGUAAAGCUCUUUUACCCGGGAUGAUAAUGACAGUACCGGGAGAAUAAGCGCCGGCUAACUCCGUG